UUGGAGACCACAGUUUUCCACCCCGUUGUCUGAAGGAAUAGCAAUUCAUUAUAUGUGUGACGUGGGGGUGAAGGGUGCAGGGAGACCCGGGCUGGACGGUUGGGAAGGAAGGUCGUGGACAACAAAGUAAUGAACAAAAAUAUGUUUCACGCAUGAGAAGCUGUCCGAGAUGGCAGUGAGGGAGAGGUCAUGGCAAACGGUGUUUAUGGCAUGGAAAAGUGAAGAUUCAAAAAAAAACCCAAGGAGAGGCCAAGAUAGUGUGGAAAAUAUCCACCCCCUCCCAGAGACAGCUCAUUAGGAAGGUUUUGGAGGGAGACUCGCAGGAGGUCAGGGGCUGCUGUGUUAUCUUUGGAGGAAAGGCCAUCCCUUCUCUUCCCCUCCGCAGACGUAUCCAGUGAGACAACUCUCUCCCCAGCAAGCUUUUCUCAGGGAGCAGGCAGUUUCUUGAAAAAAUGAACCAGAUGAGGAUCCACCCACCUCCAGAAACAAAGACUGUGGCUGUCUCCAAGAAUGAAGCACCAGUCUCUUAGUUGGUAUCCCCAGGAGACCAAGGAUGUUCCAAAGGGCAGAUGAAUGUAACUUCCAAGAUGAAGUAACCGGAUGUCUGUCAACUCAGAAAACAAGCUUAAAUGCCUUCUCUUCCAUGAAGACUUCCUUGAUCACUCCUGUCUUUACAGAUGAACGGCUAACUGGAAUACCAACAGAAUAAACAGACUUUAGUCCUGCCAUCUGCCCUGGCCCAUGCAGCCUGGCAUUGUUUAGGGGAUCAUACCUGGCUUCCCACCCAGGCCACAUGACUCUAGAGGGCAAGACUUAGUAAGGUCACGUAGUAGGAGCUCAAUAUAAUUUAUUGGUUAGACAAGAGGAAACCACUUCUUCUCUUGACAAGCCAUGUUGGUAUUUUACCUUCUUCCUUUUAUAGAUAUACCCUCCCAAACAC
rnacentral:lncRNA from 1 species